rnacentral:rRNA from 1 species
GUAGGUGGCAAGCGUUGUCCGGAAUUAUUGGGCGUAAAGCGCGCGCAGGUGGUUCUUUAAGUAUGAUGUGAAAGCCCCCGGGCUCAACCGGGGAGGGUCAUUGGAAACUGGGGAACUUGAGUGCAGGAGAGGAAAGUGGAAUUCCACGUGUAGCGGUGAAAUGCGUAGAUAUGUGGAGGAACACCAGUGGCGAAGGCGACUUUCUGGCCUGUAACUGACACUGAGGCGCGAAAGCGUGGGGAGCAAACAGGAUUAGAUACCCUGGUAGUCCACGCCGUAAACGAUGAGUGCUAAGUGUUGGGGGGUUUCCGCCCCUCAGUGCUGCAGCUAACGCAUUAAGCACUCCGCCUGGGGAGUACGGUCGCAAAGACUG